rnacentral:rRNA from 1 species
UCCAGACUCCUACGGGAGGCAGCAGUGAGGAAUAUUGGUCAAUGGGCUUACGCCUGAACCAGCCAAGUCGCGUGAGGGAGUACUGCCCUAUGGGUUGUAAACCUCUUUUGUCGGGGAGCAAAAGCCGGACGUGUCCGGCUGUGAGAGUACCCGAAGAAAAAGCAUCGGCUAACUCCGUGCCAGCAGCCGCGGUAAUACGGAGGAUGCGAGCGUUAUCCGGAUUUAUUGGGUUUAAAGGGUGCGCAGGCGGAUUUUUAAGUCAGCGGUCAAAUCGUGGGGCUCAACCCCAUCCAGCCGUUGAAACUGCAUCCCUUGAGUGCGCGAGAAGUAUGCGGAAUGCGUGGUGUAGCGGUGAAAUGCAUAGAUAUCACGCAGAACUCCGAUUGCGAAGGCAGCAUACCGGCGCGCAACUGACGCUGAGGCACGAAAGCGUGGGUAUCGAACAGGAUUAGAUACCCUGGUAGGU